rnacentral:lncRNA from 1 species
UGCAAAAACCUGUAAAACAUUCAGUUUUACAUAUAUGUAACAUUUGCAUUUCUUUUAACAGGAAAAAACUAAAGAGUACAUCCAAGUAUAUUUAUCAAACAUUGUUUUUGAAUGGUGAAAAUAGUGACAUUAAGAUUUGUGCUCUGGGAGAAGAGUGGAGCUUACACAAAAUAUAUUUAUGUCAAGUAAGUGUUAUUCAGUUUGAGUAAUUGAAGGUAGCUACUUAAAAAAUUCUUAGUUUUUGAAAAUAACUUCUUUCUCAUUGCAUUUCACAGUAAUCUUUUACAUGGCUAGUACAAUAUCUGGCUACUUUUCUAGUAUGUUCAGUGGUUCUUGGAAAGAAUCCAGCAUGAAUAUUAUUGAACUGGAGAUUCCUGACCAGAAUAUUGAUAUAGAAGGUAACUACCACCAUAGUUAUUAUUAUGCAAAAAUCAUUAAAAGGUAACCUUUUUUUGUAGAAAAUAAUA